GAGAGAAGAGGAAGUUUUAUGGUUUCACGACUUUUGGUACUUUCAUUAAUGCCUGUUGUUAUUGUGCUAAUUUUUUUUCCUUCGAGUUGCUUGUGCAUGGUUAACAUUUCCCAUUAAUAAUCCCAUGCGGGGCAUUUUGCAUUCUCGGUUGUAAUCAAUAAAUCAGAGAAAUGAAAAUACAAGGUCAGAUUGUGCGGAUUUUACUAUAACUUCCUCAGGUUUUAUGCAUCAUCUUUUCUCCUAUGUGUAUGUACCGGAAUCAUCUGUCUUUAUAUAUUCUCUAAACACCUGUUAGAUUGGAUGUAGUUAAUAUGUUUCUCUUGUUUGCAUGAUGAAUAGCUAUCUUUUGGAGACGCUUAAACGAUGUUUUGCUUCUAAUUCCCUUCUUGGUUUAUCUAAAUUAGGGAUUCGAUUAUAUGAAUUGCCUACAUGAGUCGUUCAAAUAGCUGAGCAAAGGCUUGUAUGUUCUUAUAGUUAAAUUCUCCUAAUUUGGAUUAGUACCAGUAUACAUAAGAUAUACUCCAACAGUGAAAUCACAUGGCUGGAAAUCAUGUAGGUAUGUUCUUAGAUUCGAGCUUGUCUCAAAUUUUUAGUGUCUGGGUGGCCAUAUUAGAUCAGAAUGCAUGCAAGCAUAGGUUUUCUGUACUGAGAUUUGAUGAUCAAGGAGGCAACAGUUGCAAGGAAAGAAGCUUAGCAGAUAUUACCAUGCUUUGGUUGGAGAGAUAAAGUCUUGCUAGUAACAGUUGCUUGCAUUUUUGUUUUGAUUGUGGGAUUUUGAAAUAUUUGCCGCUGUACCUAAAUUCUUGUGGCAUUGCAGCUAUCUGGAAGUUAUCUUGCAGCACUUCUGACAGAUGAUUUGGAUAACUCCAAAUUGUGCGAUGGUGUGGUGUUCAAUUGAUGUUUGGAUGUUGGCUUCAGAACACAUCUUAGAAUAUCCAGUAGAACUACGAUGGCAGAUCGAAAUGGGUCUGUAGCUCAAGGAUGCAUCGCUGGCACAGGUUACAAUGUCUCUCCUCAUUUAUCUGGCUAUCCAUCUCAAACCUUGCUUCUGAUUCUUAUGAUAUUGGCCUUGACUCUCAAGUUGUAUGUACAUAUAUAUUAGACGAAUCAAACCUGAAUAACUACAGAACUUGUAUCAAUAUUGACCUCAAUGUAUUAAUGCUUUAGUAAAUGAAGCCUUACCUUAGUUAUGAAGAAGAUAAUCCCAUGAGGGGGACCAUUUCAUUUUUCGUAGUAGUUUAUUAAAUUUCAGACAGGUAUGCAUCGAUUUGUCUAUCUGUUUCCAUCUCUUUUUCCACCUGUAUAUGAGACAUUUUUUAAUUCAAAAAUAAAGGUUGUGG
rnacentral:lncRNA from 1 species